rnacentral:rRNA from 1 species
AUUGAACGCUGGCGGCAGGCCUAACACAUGCAAGUCGAGCGGAGCGGCGGACGGGUGCGUAAUGCCUAGGAAUCUGCCUGGUAGUGGGGGAUAACGUCCGGAAACGGGCGCUAAUACCGCAUACUAUCAGAUGAGCCUAGGUCGGAUUAGCUAGUUGGUGGGGUAAAGGCCUACCAAGGCGACGAUCCGUAACUGGUCGGGGGGGAUGAUCAGUCACCUUGGAACUGAGACACGGUCCGGCUUCCUACGGGGGGAAGAGGGGGGGAAUAUGGGCAAAGGGGCGAAAGCCGGAUCCAGCCAUGCGGGGUGUUGGAAGAAGGUCUUCGGUUUUUAAAGCACUUUAAGUUGGGAGGCGUUACCAACAGAAUAAGCACCGGUUAACUCCGUGCCAGCAGCCGCGUAAUAC